rnacentral:lncRNA from 1 species
UCCGUGUCUGCACGCCUUACCUUUUUUGCACUAUGAACCCUUACCAACUAGCUCAGCUUUCUGUCGUUCUAAGCUUCAUUUCUAGUACUCUGAGCACUUUUCCGUGUUCUCCUACUUAUCUGCACAAUCCUGCUUCUUUAGCUUCCUUAAUCGCGUUAUGUAUCUUCCGCGCUAGAACUAUGUCAUGAUCGGCGUUUGUGUUGUCCACU